rnacentral:snRNA from 1 species
AGCUUUGUGCAAUGGCAGUAUCGUAGUCAAUGAGAUUUAUAUAAGGCACAAUUAUUGCUAAUUGAAAAUUUGAGUUUGGGGGAUAAUUCAUAGCCAGUAAUAUCCCAUCAUGUGAGGCUAUUUCAACGUUAAUUUUAAU